rnacentral:tRNA from 1 species
GCCUGGGUGGCUCAGUCAGUUAAGAGUCUGACUUUGGCUCAGGUCAUGGUCUCACAGGUUUGUGGGUUCAAGCCCCACGUCAGGCU